rnacentral:rRNA from 1 species
CCUACGGGAGGCAGCAGUGAGGAAUAUUGGUCAAUGGCCGGAAGGCUGAACCAGCCAAGCCGCGUGAGGGAGGAAGGCGCAGAGCGUCGCAGACCUCUUUUGCCGGGGGACAAAAGGCCGGACUCGUCCGGUCCUGAGGGUACCCGGAGAAAAAGCAUCGGCUAACUCCGUGCCAGCAGCCGCGGUAAUACGGAGGAUGCGAGCGUUAUCCGGAUUUAUUGGGUUUAAAGGGUGCGUAGGCGGGAUGCCAAGUCAGCGGUAAAAAUGCGGUGCUCAACGCCGUCGAGCCGUUGAAACUGGCGUUCUUGAGUGGGCGAGAAGUAUGCGGAAUGCGUGGUGUAGCGGUGAAAUGCAUAGAUAUCACGCAGAACUCCGAUUGCGAAGGCAGCAUACCGGCGCCCUACUGACGCUGAGGCACGAAAGCGUGGGUAUCGAACAGGAUUAGAUACCCCGGUAGUC